AUCUGGAUCACCAAUCAUCAACUCAGGAGAUUGAUGGAUUUAAAGUUGCAUUUGUUGUAUUUGUUAUUGGUCACCUGCUAGCACCUUGUGUGAAACAUGAUCAAGUGCACUUGGAUUUUUGGGGUGCUCUGAAAAAUCCAUCAUCAUUGGAUAGGUAUAACUGGUGUCGAUAUGUGUUUGGCCAUGUGCUCGAGGCCGCUCAGAAAAUACGGGCUGAAAUUAUUAGUAGGGGCAGAGCUACAUCACUCUCUGGGUGUCACUAUUUCCUACAGAUUAUAUUUCUGGAUAAUGUCGAUCUCAAUAGGCUGAAUAAAGCUCAUAAGGUUGUUCCCCGCCUUAAGCUGUUUGACCAAGAAUCACUGAGGUUGAUGGCAUUUAUGUGUGCUAGUAGGGGUGAACAGGACUUUGCUCGAUUCAUUGGUGUAUGUGACUGUCCGCAAUCGAACAUUCCAUCUGCAAGUUUCUUAUAUAGUUUGACUAUCUCUUUGUUUUAUUUUUUUGAAAGGUUUAAUUAUGUUAUAUAUACAGGUACGUCCUGCCGGCACAUCCGCUUACAUGAGGCGUACCUAUCAGUCUCCUCAUGCCACCCCGACCGUACCUUCCCCCGUCAGCCGUGUAUUUGCACCCGCAGCACGAAGGGUCCCGGAAAACCAGAAUCAGUGUGUCGAAUCCAUAUGUUAUAAUUCCUUCGCUUUCAAGAGUCCAUCUGACUUUUCUGCUUAUAUCAAUCAGCGUCAUCCAGGGCUUGGGAGAACUUAUUUUGCUGACUACAUGAAGAAUCUUAACGCUCUUAUGAUGCAGGACAUUUCUAUUCUUAGAACGUCUAUUAUGCGACGCAAUGCACAGCUUGUAGACUGGCUAUCUGAUCACUUUGGUCCA